rnacentral:rRNA from 1 species
AGAGUUUGAUCAUGGCUCAGGAUGAACGCUAGCGGCAGGCCUAAUACAUGCAAGUCGGACGGGAUUCAGGGAGUAGCUUGCUACGAACUGAUGAGAGUGGCGCACGGGUGCGUAACGCGUGAGCAACCUACCCAUAUCAGGGGGAUAGCCUCUCGAAAGAGAGAUUAACACCGCAUAACAUCAUUUACCGGCAUCGGUUUUUGAUCAAAUAUUUAUAGGAUAUGGAUGGGCUCGCGUGACAUUAGCUAGUUGGAGAGGUAACGGCUCACCAAGGCUACGAUGUCUAGGGGCUCUGAGAGGAGAAUCCCCCACACUGGUACUGAGACACGGACCAGACUCCUACGGGAGGCAGCAGUAAGGAAUAUUGGUCAAUGGAGGCAACUCUGAACCAGCCAUGCCGCGUGCAGGAUGACUGCCCUAUGGGUUGUAAACUGCUUUUGUCAGGGAAUAAACCUUUCUACGUGUAGGAAGCUGAAUGUACCUGAAGAAUAAGGAUCGGCUAACUCCGUGCCAGCAGCCGCGGUA